UCACCCGUUGCAGGAGCCACCCGCCCGGUGCGGCCCGCGGUCUCCAGCCGCUUUCCCUACCCAACCCACCACGGCCGUGGGCUCGCGGCGUCCGUGGGACCCGCUUCUGAAGGUCGGUCCCCAGGGGGGAAAAACCUGAAGGAAAGCCAAGAAGCUCCUGUUACAACCUGAGUCAGAUCAUGUCUCUCCUUGACUCAGAACAUUCCAGUGGAGCCCAGCUAUCACAGCCUGCAAUGCCCUACAGGAUCUGUACCCCAGCCCCCAUUAUAUCCCUGAUCAUACUGUCUCCUCCUUUCCCCUUGCUUACAUCACUCCAGCCACACUGGCCUCCUUGCAGUUUCUCAAACAUACUAGGCACAGUCCUACUUCAGGGCCCUUGAAUGUGUUGUUCUCAUUGCCUAUACAAAUUAUUUCCCCACAAAUUGCAUUGUUCACUCACCUCCUUCGGGGAUUUGUUCAGAUAUUAUCUUCUCAGGGAACCCUGCCUUAACCAUUCAAUCUAACACACUCCUUAAUAUUUCCUAUUCCCAUAUCUUGUUUAACUUUUUUAUUGGCAUCUAUUCCCUGCUAAUGUAUUAUACAUUUUACAUUUUAUUUUGUUUUUGUUCUUUUCCAAUAGAAUGCAAGUCCCACCAAAGCAGUGAUUUCUGUCCAUUUGUUCCCUUCAUAGCUCUAGCACCAAGCACACAGUUAAGUGCUCAAUCGCUGAAUUAAUGGUUGUCUGAAAGACUUAAAGCAAACAGGGUCAGCCUGAGGAGACUUACACAGGGCUAAGGAACCUACCCCAAAUGAGUUAAGAAGUUGGUUCCUGGAGAAAUUAGAAGACCAGUUUUCUCCCCAAAGAGACCCAGGACAGCCCCAAGCUAGUUUCCAAGGACUGCCUUUGCACAGAGUCCCUCCCCUCUGAUUCAUUCUCCUCCUCCCUCCAGCACCUGGUUAACUCCAUUCAUCCUGGGGAUAUCAGCUCAGAUUUAACUUUGUAGGGCACAAAAACCCUAUUUCCCAUAAAACCAUAAAAAUCUUAUUUCCCACCUUCAGGCUACACAGGUCUCACACGUCUUCAUGGCACAGUGUUCAAAAUGUAGCAGGGGCUCAGUAAAUUUGUGUUGGGUAAAUAAACAAAUGAAUGAGUGGAUGGGGACACUGGCAACCUACGUAACUGAAUGUCCACCUGAGCAGCUAGCUACAGCAUCUAUCCCAGGCCAUACUGAGGGAGAGAAAUGCUUCCAAUGCAGCGGGGGGUAGUCUUCCCUGCCAGGAAGAAAAGGAAGCAAGGUAGUGCCCUUCCAAACAGAGAUGACAAAGAAAAAGAAACAUUUCUAUUCACCAAAAACCUCUAAUAUACUUGCCCUAUGAAUUAAUCCUACCCUAUUUCUACAUCAUUUCCUAUAGAAAAGGACCUGAGUCCCCAAAGCCUAUUCAGCUUUGACUAGUCACAAAGGCCCCAGCAACAGAAGUGGGGCUUACCUCUAGGGCAAACUUUGGGCAAGUUCGUUUGCCUGUCCGAACCUCAGUUUGCUCAUCUACAAAAUGGGUGGCAAGACCCCUGUCCUAAUUGCCUCACAGGGUUGUUGGAGGAGUAAAUACAGUACUAGAUGGGAAAAGGUGUUAGGGAAAUUGAGAGACUGGGAAGAGACAGUUCUCAGCACUGGGCAAUGCUGGGAAAUGGGAAGCCUGGCACACAGUCCCCCAGGCAGCAGGAAGAUGGCAGUGCAGAAGGUCAGUAAGCUCAGGCACCUGGGUGGUUCUGUUGGUUAAGCCUUUGGCUCUGGUCAUGAUCCCAGAGUCCUGGGAUCGAGUCCCGCAUCAGGCUUCUGCUCUGCAGGGAGCCUGCUUCUCCCUCUCCUUCUUCUUGCUACUCUCCCUGCUUGUGCUCACUUUGUGUGCUCACUCUCUCUCUCUGUGUCAAAUAAAUAAAACCUUUUAAAAAAAAGAGAGAGAGAGAGAGAGAGAGAAGAAGAAGAAGAAGAAGAAGAAGAAGAAGAUCAAUAAGCUCUAUCAGGGCAGCAAGGAGCUCCACCUGGGGAAGAGGGAGCGGCGUUACUGAGAAGCAUGUGUCCAGGCCCCUUGGAGAGGAGGAUUCCAGGGCCUGCUCAGCCAGAAAAUGCAAGAAAGCAAGUGGCCACAUUGUUGAUGGGACCAAGGAUAUGGAUUCCCGGUUGUCUUAGAGAUUUAAGCCCAAGCCUCUUGGACUGACAUCCAGGCCAUUCAUUUCAGUAAUUCUUUAAAAAGAUAAUACCUGCUAACAAGACAGUAAACAAUGUGUGUUGGAGAGGAUGUGGAGAAAUGGGAGCCCUCUUACACUGUUGGUGGAAAAGCAAAUUGGUGCAGCCACUUUGGAAAACAGUCUGGAGAUUCCUUAAGAAAUUAAAAAUAGAGCUUCCCUAUGACCCUGCAAUUGUACCACUGGAUAUUUACCCCAAAGAUACAGAUGUUGUGAAAAGAAGGGCCAUCUCUACCCCAAUGUUCAUAGCAGAAAUGGCCACGGUCGCCAAACUGUGGAAAGAAGCAAGAUGCCCUUCAACGGACGAAUGGAUCAGGAAGAUGUGGUCCAUAUACACUAUGGAGUAUUAUGCCUCCAUCAGAAAGGACGAAUCCCCAACUUUUGUAUCAACGUGGACAGGACUAGAAGAGAUUAUGCUGAGUGAAACAAGUCAAGCAGAGAGAGUCAAUUAUCAUAUGUUCUCACUUAUUUGUGGAGCAUAACAAAUAACAUGGAGGACACAGGGAGAUGGUGAGGAGAAGGGAGUUGGGGGAAAUUGGAAGGGGAGGUGAACCAUGAGAGACUAUGGACUCUGAAAAACAAUCUGAGGGUUUUAAAGGGGCAGGAGGUGGGAGGUUGGGUGAGCCCAGUGGUGGGUAUUAUGGAGGACAUGUAUUGCAUGGAGCACUGGGUAUGGUGCAUAAACAAUGAAUUCUGGUACACUGAAAAGAAAUUCAAAAAAUAAAAAAUUAAAUAAUAAUAAUAAUGAUAAUACCUGCAAGGGCACCUGAGUGACUCAGUGGGUUAAGUGUCUGCCUUUGUCUCAAGUCAUGAUCUCAGGGUCCUGGGAUUGAGCCCUGCAUCACAUCGGGCUCUCUGCUUGGCGGGGAACCUGCUUCCUCCUCUCUCUCUCUCUCUGCCCGCCUCUCUGCCUACUUGUGAUCUCUCUCUGUCAAAUAAAUAAAUAAAAACUCUUAAAAAAAAAAA